GCCGCCUUAGCUCAGGGGUAGAGCAACGCACUUGUAAUGCGUAGGUCUAGGGUUCAAAUCCCUAAGGCGGCUCCA
rnacentral:tRNA from 1 species